UGGGGAAUCUUGCACAAUGGGCGAAAGCCUGAUGCAGCAACGCCGCGUGAGUGAUGAAGGUCUUCGGAUCGUAAAGCUCUUUCGGCCGGGACGAAAACGGCAUGGCCAAUAUCCAUGUCCUUGACUGUACCGGAAGAAGAAGCACCGGCUAACUCUGUGCCAGCAGCCGCGGUAAUACAGAGGGUGCGAGCGUUGUUCGGAAUUAUUGGGCGUAAAGCGCGUGUAGGCGGUGAUGCAUGUCGGGUGUGAAAGCCCUCAGCUCAACUGAGGAAGUGCGCCCGAAACUGCAUCGCUGGAGUGCCGGAGAGGAAGGCGGAAUUCCCGGUGUAGAGGUGAAAUUCGUAGAUAUCGGGAGGAACACCAGUGGCGAAGGCGGCCUUCUGGACGGACACUGACGCUGAGACGCGAAAGCGUGGGUAGCAAACAG
rnacentral:rRNA from 1 species